CAGUAGCCGCGGGAAUACGGAGGAUCCAAGCGUUAUCCGGAAUCAUUGGGUUUAAAGGGUCCGUAGGCGGUUUAGUAAGUCAGUGGUGAAAGCCCAUCGCUCAACGGUGGAACGGCCAUUGAUACUGCUGAACUUGAAUUAUUAGGAAGUAACUAGAAUAUGUAGUGUAGCGGUGAAAUGCUUAGAGAUUACAUGGAAUACCAAUUGCGAAGGCAGGUUACUACUAAUUGAUUGACGCUGAUGGACGAAAGCGUGGGGAGCGAACAGGAUUAGAUACCCCAGUAGUCCCUGUCUCUUAUAC
rnacentral:rRNA from 1 species